rnacentral:lncRNA from 1 species
UCUCUUAAAGGAAUGACACCCUUUUGAGAACCCUCCCACAAAUGAAUCGAUUCCUUUUGGAGCUAGCUAUCCUUCUCAAAAGUCUGCAGUAAUCCUAGCAAAUCGUGGUAGUUCACUGUAGGCUUAGUCAUUUUAUAAUGACUCAAGAAGAGCAAAUAAGACUUGAGAAGUGAGUUUAGGAUGGCAGCUUUGCCUAACUAUUCAUGUAAUGAAAAGUCAAGUUUGCUCAGACAUUCAUCUGCUCGAUCAUAUACAAUAC